UGAUCAUGGCUCAGAUUGAACGCUGGCGGCAGGCCUAACACAUGCAAGUCGAGCGGCAGCACAGAGAAACUUGUUUCUCGGGUGGCGAGCGGCGGACGGGUGAGUAAUGCCUGGGAAAUUGCCCUGAUGUGGGGGAUAACCAUUGGAAACGAUGGCUAAUACCGCAUGAUGCCUACGGGCCAAAGAGGGGGACCUUCGGGCCUCUCGCGUCAGGAUAUGCCCAGGUGGGAUUAGCUAGUUGGUGAGGUAAGGGCUCACCAAGGCGACGAUCCCUAGCUGGUCUGAGAGGAUGAUCAGCCACACUGGAACUGAGACACGGUCCAGACUCCUACGGGAGGCAGCAGUGGGGAAUAUUGCACAAUGGGCGCAAGCCUGAUGCAGCCAUGCCGCGUGUGUGAAGAAGGCCUUCGGGUUGUAAAGCACUUUCAGUUGUGAGGA
rnacentral:rRNA from 1 species